GGGAACAGUCCAUAUUGUUUAAAUUUAGUUGUCGUAGUAGAUAUUCACCAUACUGUAAAUUUUUAAAGAAAACCUACAGUGAAAAACAUCCAAUCUUCAUAUGGCAACAUGUUCAAGAUUUAUAGUUUGUGUUGGAGAUAUAUUUCUUUACUAUGAAAGAUUUAAAUAAAAAUUUACAACAAAACAUAUGUGAAAUUAUCAGAUCUCCUUAAACAAAACAGCUUAGAUAAUUCAAAUGAUUCAAAAUUUUAAUUCAAAAACUAACUUGCUUUACAAAAUAUAAUUAAUUCACUUGUAACUGAAAGAUGUCAUAUUAAUCAGGGGCGGAUCCAGCCAUUUUAAAAAGGGGGUUCCCAACCCAGGACAAAGGGGCGUUCCAAAAACAUGUCCCAAUUUAAAUGCAUUGAUCGUCCAAAAAAAGUGAGGUUUCAACCCCCAGAACACCCCCCCUGGAUCCGCCACUGUUAAUUUUCAUAAUCCUUGUAAAACUUUCUUAUACGAAUUAAUUGUAGUGCCAUGUAGCGGUUGUAUUAGGCAUGUUUUCAAGGUGUAUUGACAAAAAGAUAUAUUUUUAAAGAGAAACAAUUAUUUUUUAAUUUCAUUUUGUCUGCAUGUUAGUGAAUAUGUUUAUGAUUUUAUGUGUAUUAAUAUGUUAUUUGAGUUUCAAUCAAUGCAAUUUAUUAUAUUAUCAAUGCAACAGUAGGGUAUUUUAUCAUUAUCAUCACAACAGUGGUUUAGUUCAAUAUUCAAGCAAUCUGUAGUAUUGUUUUGUCUUAUAAUCCAAAUUAGGUCUUGAUGGGGAUUUCAAAAUAGAGAAUAAUGGGCUGAAAAUAUAUAGAUUAUUGAAAAGUGGGUAUAAAAUAUAAAAAACAAAGAAGAAAUCGCAAAAAAAUGAAAAGGGGAAAAAAAUACCAUGAAAAAUUAAAGAAUAGAGAAAGUUGACAUAACAAAAUGUCAAAUUGGAGAAUACAGCCUCCUCAUAUUUAGACUUUGACAUCAUGAGUAUUGAACCCUCCUACAGCCCCUCAUGUUUAGACUUUGACAUCAUGAGUAUUGAACCCUCCUACAACCCUCAUAUUUAGACUUUGACAUCAUGAGUAUUGAACCCCCUCCUACAGCCCCUCAUAUUUAGACUUUGACAUCAUGAGUAUUGAACCCUCCUACAGCCCCUCAUAUUUAGACUUUGACAUCAUGAGUAUUGAACCCUCCUACAGCCCCUCAUAUUUAGACUUUGACAUCAUGAGUAUUGAACCCUCCUACGCCCUAUAUUUAGACUUUGACAUCAUUAGUAUUGACCCUCCUACAGCCCCUCAUAUUUAGACUUUGACAUCAUGAGUAUUGAACCCUCCUACAGCCCCUCAUAUUUAGACUUUGACAUCAUGAGUAUUGACAUCUGUUGUGAUGAGUCAGUGUAUACCAAUGCAAUGGAUUUCAGCUGCCAUUAUUAUAACUGAUUUGUUUGAGUGUGUUCUACAAUAAUAAAACAUAAGCUUUGUGUAGAAUGUAAUUAUUUAUCACCUUUUGUUUUAAAAAUAGGUAACAAACUAGUCAACUGGUAUCAACCACCCCGUGUGUUACCUGUCCUUCAAUUUGAUUGGCUAAUGAAAUAAAAUCAUCAUAGAUACUAGGAUUGAAAUUUUAUAUUAUCAUUACUCUUUCAACAAAGGGGAAAAAGAUUUUACGGUCUACUGAGCAAACUUAACGUUAUUGUUCUAUGUACACACUCAAAUAUAUCGACUAUAAAUUUUUGUUGUAUAUAAAUAUUUUAUCAUGUUUUUUUGUCAUUUCAGAAAUCAGCA
rnacentral:lncRNA from 1 species